UGCUGUGGUGCCUGCAUCUUGGGUAGAGGAGGUGGAUGGGGUAAGGUUAUACGCAGGCAUGACAAGUCCAUAAUUUGGUGAUAGUAAAAUGUGAUUAACUAUUUUCUGAAUUUUUUUUAGGUACUAAUUUGCUACUGGCCUCAUAGAAAUGCCGCUGGCUUGGCAAAGGCCUCCAACAGGCCAGAUAAGGAGCUGUGGAGUCAAUAUAAAAUAUGAAUACUUUCUGAGACUGAUGACUACAAGACAGCCAAGGAGCGAGCAAAAAGGGCCAUUGAAACCUCUAAUGUAGAGAGUGAGGAGGAGAUGGUAAAAGUGCAGAAGAAGAAAGGCACAUCAAGAUACUGGACAGGUAGUAAAGAUUAUGAGAAUUUACAGACAGGGUCACACAUACGGGCUCAUUCUGAAGUAAUAGGAGAAUGUGAGAUGCCACGUAAAAAAUGAGGAAAGUGUCCACAUCCUCUCAAAACCCACCACCAACCCUCCCUAAGC